rnacentral:rRNA from 1 species
UAUAUAUAUAUAUAUAUAUAUAUAUAUAUAUAUAUAUAUAUAUAUAUAUAUAUAUAAUUUUUUUUUAUUUUUUUUUUAUUGUGGUAGCCCCCAAAAUAUUGGGACAUAUAAAAAAAGACAACUCUGUUCCGUAGAGUAGCUGUUGAUAUUAUAGUUGCGCAGGAACUCUAGGGUACCUCGGACAUAUCGAACAUCCCCGUGGUGGCGACUUUGCAUGCAGAUGUCAUCCAUAUCAACUUUCGAUGCAAGUUUCUGGGCAUACCACGGGGAGUCAGGAUUCCAUUCCGUACAGGGACCCUGAGAAAUGGCUACCACAUGCAAGGAAGGCAGCAGACAUGCAAAUGACCCACUCCCGACGCAGGAAGGUAGUGA